GUGUGUGUACGUGUGUGUGUGUGUACGUGUGUGUGUGUGUGUGUGUGUGUGUGUGUGUGUGUCAGGUAAAUGGCAGUGAUGUGGUGAAGGUGGGUCAUAGACAGGUUGUACUCUGCAGUGCUAUGUAACCCUAACCCUAUGUUGAAUGUGUGUGUGUGUCAGGUAAAUGGCAGUGAUGUGGUGAAGGUGGGUCAUAGACAGGUUGUACUCUGCAGUGCUAUGUAACCCUAACCCUAUGUUGAAUGUGUGUGUGUGUCAGGUAAAUGGCAGUGAUGUGGUGAAGGUGGGUCAUAGACAGGUUGUACUCUGCAGUGCUAUGUAACCCUAACCCUAUGUUGAAUGUGUGUGUGUGUCAGGUAAAUGGCAGUGAUGUGGUGAAGGUGGGUCAUAGACAGGUUGUACUCUGCAGUGCUAUGUAACCCUAACCCUAUGUUGAAUGUGUGUGUGUGUGUGUGUGUGUGUCAGGUAAAUGGCAGUGAUGUGGUGAAGGUGGGUCAUAGACAGGUGGUGUCACUGAUCCGUCAGGGAGGAAGUCAACUGCUGAUGAAGGUUGUUUCAGUCACACGCAAACCUGAGUCCGACUUAGUCCGUAAGAAAGCACCUCCUCCGCCUAAGAGAGCACCCAGCACGUCGCUCACACUGCGCUCCAAAUCUAUGACUGCUGAACUGGAAGAGAUAGCCUCUGCCAGGAGGAGACGAGGGG